GCACUGGUGGUUCAGUGGUAGAAUUCUCACCUUCUAUGCAGAGACCCAGGUUGAAUUCCCAGCCAAUGCA
rnacentral:tRNA from 1 species